rnacentral:rRNA from 1 species
AGAGUUUGAUCAUGGCUCAGGAUGAACGCUGGCGGCGUGCCUAAUACAUGCAAGUCGAACGAGAACCCUCUGGAUUCGUCUGGGGGGGGAGAGUGGCGAACGGGUGAGUAACACGUAGGUGACCUGCCCCGAAGACAGGGAUAACCGCCGGAAACGGUGGCUAAUACCCGAUGUGCUCGGCGAUUCAGUUCGUCGAGUAAAGCUCCGGCGCUUCGGGAGGGGCCUGCGGCCUAUCAGCUAGUUGGUAGGGUAACGGCCUACCAAGGCGAAGACGGGUAGGGGGCGUGAGAGCGCGGUCCCCCACACUGGCACUGAGAUACGGGCCAGACUCCUACGGGAGGCAGC